GUAACAUCCCGGAUUUUUAUCCAAGAUAUUAGUUAGAAUUUUGCUUAAUUAUAAAACGUACAAUUAUUUUUCCUUCUUUUCAUAAAAUAAAAUAGUUACAAAAGAGAUUGAAAUCAAAUUUAUUGAAAUAUAAACUUAAUUAAAAUGAACAAUAGUUUGAAAAUUCGAGCGGAAGAAAAUACAACGACGAAUUAUUUAUUACAUAAAAAUUCUCAAAUUUACUAAACCCAUUUUUCCCCUACGUACGCGCUUCAAGUAUCACAUUCAAACAUGCCUUUCUCCUUGAGUACCUAAAAUGUUGGGUGUAAAGGGUCAAUUUCCUU
rnacentral:lncRNA from 1 species